rnacentral:rRNA from 1 species
ACGCUCGACACCUACGGGAGACAGCAGUAGGGAAUCUUCCACAAUGGGCGCAAGCCUGAUGGAGCAACACCGCGUGAGUGAAGAAGGGUUUCGGCUCGUAAAGCUCUGUUGUUGGAGAAGAACGUGCGUGAGAGUAACUGUUCACGCAGUGACGGUAUCCAACCAGAAAGUCACGGCUAACUACGUGCCGCAGCCGCGGUAAUACUGAGCGGGCGUGGCGAACGGACG